GACGAACGCUGGCGGCGUGCCUAACACAUGCAAGUCGAGCGAUGAAAUCCCUUCGGGGAUGGAUUAGCGGCGGACGGGUGAGUAACACGUGGGUAACCUGCCUCAAAGUGGGGGAUAGCCUUCCGAAAGGAAGAUUAAUACCGCAUAAUAUUAGAUUUUCGCAUGAAGAACUAAUUAAAGGAGCAAUCCGCUUUGAGAUGGACCCGCGGCGCAUUAGCUAGUUGGUGAGGUAAUAGCUCACCAAGGCGACGAUGCGUAGCCGACCUGAGAGGGUGAUCGGCCACAGUGGAACUGAGACACGGUCCAGACUCCUACGGGAGGCAGCAGUGGGGAAUAUUGCACAAUGGGGGAAACCCUGAUGCAGCAACGCCGCGUGAGUGAUGAAGGUCUUCGGAUUGUAAAGCUCUGUCUUUUGGGACGAUAAUGACGGUACCAAAGGAGGAAGCCACGGCUAACUACGUGCCAGCAGCCGCCGUAAAAC
rnacentral:rRNA from 1 species